rnacentral:rRNA from 1 species
CGACAUGACGCAUGUCGUGUCGGGAAAGAUUCAUCGGUAUGGGAUGGGGUCGCGUCCUAUCAGCUUGAUGGCGGGGUAACGGCCCACCAUGGCUUCGACGGGUAGCCGGCCUGAGAGGGCGACCGGCCACAUUGGGACUGAGAUACGGCCCAGACUCCUACGGGAGGCAGCAGUGGGGAAUAUUGCACAAUGGGCGCAAGCCUGAUGCAGCGACGCCGCGUGCGGGAUGACGGCCUUCGGGUUGUAAACCGCUUUUGACUGGGAGCAAGCCCUUCGGGGUGAGUGUACCUUUCGAAUAAGCACCGGCUAACUACGUGCCAGCAGCCGCGGUAAUACGUAGGGUGCAAGCGUUAUCCGGAAUUAUUGGGCGUAAAGGGCUCGUAGGCGGUUCGUCGCGUCCGGUGUGAAAGUCCAUCGCUUAACG